GAAUUUUAUAAAUAAAUUAAAUUUUUAAGUUAUUAAAUAAAAAUUUUUUUAUUUAUUUUAUUGGGAGGAUAAUUAAAUUAUAAUAACUUUAAUUAAUAUAAAUCAUUAAUUAAUGAAAAUUUGAAUAUAAUUUUGUAUAAUAAGAAUAAAUUACCUUAGGGAUAACAGCGUAAUAUUUUUAUUAAGAUCAUAUUUAAAAAAAUGUUUGC
rnacentral:rRNA from 1 species